rnacentral:rRNA from 1 species
GAUGAACGCUGGCGGCGUGCCUAAUACAUGCAAGUCGAGCGAACGGACGAGAAGCUUGCUUCUCUGAUGUUAGCGGCGGACGGGUGAGUAACACGUGGAUAACCUACCUAUAAGACUGGGAUAACUUCGGGAAACCGGAGCUAAUACCGGAUAAUAUUUUGAACCGCAUGGUUCAAAAGUGAAAGACGGUCUUGCUGUCACUUAUAGAUGGAUCCGCGCUGCAUUAGCUAGUUGGUAAGGUAACGGCUUACCAAGGCAACGAUGCAUAGCCGACCUGAGAGGGUGAUCGGCCACACUGGAACUGAGACACGGUCCAGACUCCUACGGGAGGCAGCAGUAGGGAAUCUUCCGCAAUGGGCGAAAGCCUGACGGAGCAACGCCGCGUGAGUGAUGAAGGUCUUCGGAUCGUAAAACUCUGUUAUUAGGGAAGAACAUAUGUGUAAGUAACUGUGCACAUCUUGACGGUACCUAAUCAGAAAGCCACGGCUAACUACGUGCCAGCAGCCGCGGUAAUACGUAAGUGGCAAGCGUUAUCCCGGAUUAUUGGGCGUAAAGCGCGCGUAGCGGUUUUUUAGUCUGAUGUGAAAGCCCACGGCUCAACCGUGGAGGGUCAUUGGAAACUGGAAAACUUGAGUGCAGAAGAGGAAAGUGGAAUUCCAUGUGUAGCGGUGAAAUGCGCAGAGAUAUGGAGGAACACCAGUGGCGAAGGCGACUUUCUGGUCUGUAACUGACGCUGAUGUGCGAAAGCGUGGGGAUCAAACAGGAUUAGAUACCCUGGUAGUCCACGCCGUAAACGAUGAGUGCUAAGUGUUAGGGGGUUUCCGCCCCUUAGUGCUGCAGCUAACGCAUUAAGCACUCCGCCUGGGGAGUACGACCGCAAGGUUGAAACUCAAAGGAAUUGACGGGGACCCGCACAAGCGGUGGAGCAUGUGGUUUAAUUCGAAGCAACGCGAAGAACCUUACCAAAUCUUGACAUCCUUUGACAACUCUAGAGAUAGAGCCUUCCCCUUCGGGGGACAAAGUGACAGGUGGUGCAUGGUUGUCGUCAGCUCGUGUUGUGAGAUGUUGGGUUAAGUCCCGCAACGAGCGCAACCCUUAAGCUUAGUUGCCAUCAUUAAGUUGGGCACUCUAAGUUGACUGCCGGUGACAAACCGGAGGAAGGUGGGGAUGACGUCAAAUCAUCAUGCCCCUUAUGAUUUGGGCUACACACGUGCUACAAUGGACAAUACAAAGGGCAGCGAAACCGCGAGGUCAAGCAAAUCCCAUAAAGUUGUUCUCAGUUCGGAUUGUAGUCUGCAACUCGACUACAUGAAGCUGGAAUCGCUAGUAAUCGUAGAUCAGCAUGCUACGGUGAAUACGUUCCCGGGUCU